rnacentral:rRNA from 1 species
AUGGCCUCUGCCCGGCCGCCUGCCUCCGCUCUGCUCCGCAGGCUGCCGACGUCCGCCUCCUGCAGCCAUCCAAGCCAGAGGCCCUGCGGCCUCGUCCCUGCCCCGAGCGCUUGCUCGGGGCCCCUCGCCGCACUCCUCCCCUCGCCGGACUCCGCCAUAGCUGCUCCUCGCCGUUGCCGCCAUGGCCUCCCCUCGCCCUACCCUGCCAUGGCCGACCCUCCCCAACCUCCUCCUCUCCGCUCCUCGCCGGGCUACCCCGCGGCCAACACUCACCGGGACGUGCCGCAGCCAUCCAUCGCCGGAUCCCGACGUGGCUGCAUCUCGCCAGACCCCGCCAACCCUUGUAGGACCCCGCCGCGCCUGAGCCCCAACAUCCUCCUCUCUGCCCUGAGCACCAGAGCUCCCCCAGCAGCGGCAGCGAUUGCCGGAGUUGGCUACUCCGGCGACCACCGAAGCAACAACUGCCCUCCUCUCUGCUUCUGUUCUUCCCGAGCUCACCGAAGCAGAAGUGGCCGCCCUCCGAACGCUUUGACUGACAUUAUUUAA